rnacentral:rRNA from 1 species
GGCGUCCGAGUUGUAAUUUGUAGAGGAUGCUAUUGGGUUGCCACCGGUCUAAGUUCCUUGGAACAGGACGUCGCARAGGGUGAGAAUCCCGUAUGUGACCGGCCAGGCGCUCUCUGUAUAGCUCCUUCGACGAGUCGGGUUGUUUGGGAAUGCAGCCCUAAAUGGGAGGUAAAUUUCUUCUAAAGCUAAAUACCGGCCAGAGACCGAUAGCGCACAAGUAGAGUGAUCGAAAGAUGAAAAGCACUUUGGAAAGAGAGUUAAAAAGCACGUGAAAUUGUUGAAAGGGAAGCGCUUGCAAUCAGUCUCGACGGCGGCUGUUCGGCCUCUCUUCUGAGUGGUUUAUUCAGUCGCCGCCGGGCCAGCAUCAGUUUCGGCGGCCGGACAAAGGCGCGGGGAAUGUAGCUCCCUCGGGAGUGUUAUAGCCCCGCGUGCAAUACGGCCCGCCGGGACUGAGGUCCGCGCUCCGGCUAGGAUGCUGGCGAAAUGGUUGUAAGCGGCCCGUCUUGAAACACGGACCAAGGAGUCUAACAUCUACGCGAGUGUUUGGGUGUCAAACCCGUGCGCGCAAUGAAAGUGAACGGAGGUGGGAACCGCAAGGUGCACCAUCGACCGAUCCUGAUGUCUUCGGAUGGAUUUGAGUAAGAGCGUAGCUGUUGGGACCCGAAAGAUGGUGAACUAUGCCUGAAUAGGGUGAAGCCAGAGGAAACUCUGGUGGAGGCUCGCAGCGGUUCUGACG